rnacentral:rRNA from 1 species
AUGCCUUUCGAAGUUCAUCAAGAUUCUGAUUGGUGGUUUGCUAGAGUACCGCUCAUGCAUUUUUGGAUUGUGGAGUUCCACUAUCCACAUAAGUGCUUAGGAGGCCUAAAUGAACCUAUCACAUAUCCUCGAGAUAGCAUCGAAUGAACCGGCUACAUGCCUAGCGGCCCGCCAUUGGCUCACAUUAGCCUACGUGAGAUAAAGAAUGCUGCAUGGGGGAUCAAAUGUGCUACUACUACUGGAUGCAAGAAGAUAGGAAGAUCUAUAUUGAGGUCUUGUGUAGGAAACCUGAUGGAUCUGAAAAUGGAGCCUAGGCUAUGA